rnacentral:piRNA from 1 species
GCCCAGAGAAAGUUUUCCUUGACGGUCGU